AUUGAACGCUGGCGGCAGGCCUAAUACAUGCAAGUCGAGCGAGCGGCGGACGGGUGAGUAAUGUAUGGGGACUGCCCGAUAGAGGGGGAUAAAUAGUGGAAACGGAAGCUAAUACCGCAUACUAUCGGAUAACCCAUAUGGGAUUAGCUAGUAGGUGAGGUAAUGGCUCACCUAGGCGACGACCCCUAGCUGGUCUGAGAGGAUGAUCAGCAACACUGGGACUGGGACCAGGCCCCGACUCGUACGGAGGCAGCAGUGGGGAAUAUUGCACAGUGGGCGCAAGCCUGAUGCAGCCAUGCCGCGUGUAUGAAGAAGGCCAUAGGGUUGUAAAGUACUUUCAGUCGUGAGGCGUUACCGACAGAAGAAGCACCGGCUAACUCCGUGCCAGCAGCCGCGGUAAUAC
rnacentral:rRNA from 1 species